AGAGUUUGAUCCUGGCUCAGGAUGAACGCUAGCGGGAGGCCUAACACAUGCAAGCCGAGCGGUAGAGAUUCUUCGGAAUCUUGAGAGCGGCGCACGGGUGCGGAACACGUGUGCAACCUGCCUUUAUCUGGGGGAUAGCCUUUCGAAAGGGAGAUUAAUACCCCAUAAUAUACUGAGUGGCAUCACUUAUUAUUGAAAACUCCGGUGGAUAGAGAUGGGCACGCGCAAGAUUAGAUAGUUGGUGAGGUAACGGCUCACCAAGUCAAUGAUCUUUAGGGGGCCUGAGAGGGUGAUCCCCCACACUGGUACUGAGACACGGACCAGACUCCUACGGGAGGCAGCAGUGAGGAAUAUUGGACAAUGGGUGAGAGCCUGAUCCAGCCAUCCCGCGUGAAGGACGACGGCCCUAUGGGUUGUAAACUUCUUUUGUACAGGGAUAAACCUAUUUACGUGUAAAUAGCUGAAGGUACUGUACGAAUAAGCACCGGCUAACUCCGUGCCAGCAGCCGCGGUAAUACGGAGGGUGCAAGCGUUAUCCGGAUUUAUUGGGUUUAAAGGGUCCGUAGGCGGAUCCGUAAGUCAGUGGUGAAAUCUCAUAGCUUAACUAUGAAACUGCCAUUGAUACUGCGGGUCUUGAGUAAGGUAGAAGUAGCUGGAAUAAGUAGUGUAGCGGUGAAAUGCAUAGAUAUUACUUAGAACACCAAUUGCGAAGGCAGGUUACUAUGUCUUAACUGACGCUGAUGGACGAAAGCGUGGGGAGCGAACAGGAUUAGAUACCCUGGUAGUCCACGCCGUAAACGAUGCUAACUCGUUUUUGGUUUUUCGGAAUCAGAGACUAAGCGAAAGUGAUAAGUUAGCCACCUGGGGAGUACGAACGCAAG
rnacentral:rRNA from 1 species